rnacentral:rRNA from 1 species
UACGGGGGGGGCAAGCGUUGUUCGGAAUUACUGGGCGUAAAGGGCUCGUAGGCGGCCAACUAAGUCGGAUGUGAAAUCCCCAGGCUCAACCUGGGAACUGCAUCCGAUACUGGAUGGCUUGAAUUCGGGAGAGGGAUGCAGAAUUCCAGGUGUAGCGGUGAAAUGCGUAGAUAGCUGGAGGAAUACCGGUGGCGAAGGCGGCAUCCUGGACCGACAUUGACGCUGAUGAGCGAAAGCUAGGGGAGCAAACGGG